rnacentral:rRNA from 1 species
GACGAACGCUGGCGGCGUGCUUAACACAUGCAAGUCGAACGGAAAGGCCCUGCUUUUGUGGGGUGCUCGAGUGGCGAACGGGUGAGUAACACGUGAGUAACCUGCCCUUGACUUUGGGAUAACUUCAGAAAACUGGGGCUAAUACCGGAUAGGAGCUCCUGCUGCAUGGUGGGGGUUGGAAAGUUUCGGCGGUUGGGGAUGGACUCGCGGCUUAUCAGCUUGUUGGUGGGGUAGUGGCUUACCAAGGCUUUGACGGGUAGCCGGCCUGAGAGGGGGACCGGCCACAGUGGGACUGAGAUACGGCCCAGACUCCUACGGGAGGCAGCAGUGGGGAAUAUUGCACAAUGGGCGGAAGCCUGAUGCAGCAACGCCGCGUGCGGGAUGACGGCCUUCGGGUUGUAAACCGCUUUCGCCUGUGACGAAGCGUGAGUGACGGUAAUGGGUAAAGAAGCACCGGCUAACUACGUGCCAGCAGCCGCCGUAAAAC